UCAGGGACUUGACUGGAGUUCAGAUAAAAAAGUUGAAUGGGACCCAGAUGAGAAGAGAGUAUUGCUACCUUUAGGGAAGCCUUUGGUCCCAGAGUAUGCCAUGAGGUUCGUUGGUGGUAGUUCCGCAAAACCGUUUGGUCGUUUGUGGUGGGAUGAAACUGUCGCAACAGUUGUGACGAGAGUUGAACUACAUAAUCAGGCAUCUUUUUAUCUUUGUCAUCUUAUUCAAUCCAUAAAAUUAGCUUGUAUCAUCCUAAAGCCUUAUCUUUUAUUCUUGUACUCCUUUCAGACCAUAAUACAUCCACUACAUGAUAGAGUUCUCACUAUUCGUAAAAAUGCAAGGCUCCAAAGUUUUCCGAACUAUUACAAGUUAAUAGGUCCAAUAAAAGAAAGGUAUAGCAUCAACUAACAUCUAACUGUUUGGUUGAAGAUCUGAUUUUUGUGUAAGGCUGAUGAAUGAUGACCGAGGAACACAACAAAGUUUCAAAUUGCCAGCUCAAAUAUUAUUUGAUUGCUGCAGGUUUCCAAACAUAUGGGCAUUGCAAUUAGCUGUUGAUUCUGUAUUAUGUUGGACUGCAUCUUUCAUUUCAGGAAGAUUGACAAAGUGUUGAUGAGGUUCUAAAGCACCCCUACUUCUCGUAAAGGUGAUAAAAAUUUCAGGUGGUAUACCUAUUUCCAUAUGAACAGCUAAAAGAAACACAACCUGCAGACCUUUUACUGAGGGUCUGUGAUUCAAGUGAACCAGAUAUUCUUGACCAAUAUUUUACACCCAUUGCCUUCUACUCAAACCAUACAUAUAUACUAUUUUUUGAUACAUAUAUUUAUACAGAGUUUUGAUCCUUUGUCGCUCGGGAGAAAUGAUUGCAAUGGUACUCUACAUGCAUACACUGACCUUUAAAUUGUGGAUCCACUUCUGUUGUCAUGAAAUGUUAAAA